UUCAAUCGGAAUGGGUUUUGUGGGUCGAGAUUUGCUCAAAUUAUGGAUCAAUUGUCGGCUAUCCGAUUUGUAUUGGAUCCGGUCUUCUCGAUCAGCCUGAGAUUCUCGAGAGCAUGUUCAUGGGGGGAGAGUUGUAAUAGUCACGAAUAAUACUGUUGGACCAUUGUAUCUAGAUAAAGUUAACCACAAUCUUGAAUAGGACACUCAUGGAAGUCUUUGACAAGGCUAUCGAGUCGAGGCUCGAUCGGUGAUGUACGUUUGUCGCCCUUGGAGGUGGUGUCAUUGGUGAUAUGAGUGGUUAUGCUGCUGCUUCUUUCCUUCGUGGGGUUAACUUCAUUCAGAUUCCCACAACCGUUAUGGCACAAGUGGACUCUUCUGUUGGGGGAAAGACAGGGAUAAAUCAUCCUCUGGGAAAGAACUUGAUUGCCGCAUUUUACCAAGCAUGUUGACAAGAAGGUUGCUGAUGGGCUACGAAGGCUCGUUCUCUUGAAAGGUCCUUUAGGUGUGUUCACCAAUGAUUAUGAUCAAAAGGCGU